AUUGAACGCUGGCGGCAUGCCUUACACAUGCAAGUCGAACGGUAACAGGUCUUCGGAUGCUGACGAGUGGCGAACGGGUGAGUAAUACAUCGGAACGUGCCUAGUAGUGGGGGAUAACUACUCGAAAGAGUGGCUAAUACCGAAUGAGAUCUACGGAUGAAAGCAGGGGAUCGCAAGACCUUGUGCUACUAGAGCGGACGAUGGCAGAUUAGGUAGUUGGUGGGAUAAAAGCUUACCAAGCCGACGAUCUGUAGCUGGUCUGAGAGGACGAUCAGCCACACUGGGACUGAGACACGGCCCAGACUCCUACGGGAGGCAGCAGUGGGGAAUUUUGGACAAUGGGCGAAAGCCUGAUCCAGCAAUGCCGCGUGCAGGAUGAAGGCCUUCGGGUUGUAAACUGCUUUUGUACGGAACGAAAAGCCCCGGGUUAAUACCCUGGGGUCAUGACGGUACCGUAAGAAUAAGCACCGGCUAACUACGUGCCAGCAGCCGCCGUAA
rnacentral:rRNA from 1 species